AUUGCUUGCAAUUACAUGAUCAUAAAGAUCCAUCCUGGUCCUAAUUGUUUUUUAACUGAUUCUUUUCUAUGUGAGGUAUAUGGACUAUUUCAAGUUGCUCUUUGGGAAACUACUGCCAUGAGUUCGAUAAUUGAUUUCCAUUGAUUCUUCUGCUGGGAUAAUGGAAAUUCAUUUGUUGCUGAGCUACUUUUAAUGCGGGGAGUUUGAAAGAAACUUUGCUUGGAGGUUUUGGAUGAUGAUAUGGAUGAUAAAUAUGAGAAUGUUAACAGUAUUGCAUCUCAUUCCGGAGUGAACAGCUUCAAGAGA